CAUGGAUUUCUAAGCAGGAAAACUGGAAGUAUCCUACUAGAUCAGUCAACAGAACUAGUAGAACUCCAGUGCAAAAAUCCACAAGCUGCGCAAAUCUAUACCAGAUGGAAGACUGUGUACAGAAUCAUUUCAGCAAAUACCUGGAGGAGGAAGGGUGAAGACUGGUAGUAACAGAACCUAUCCGACAUGUCUACGUGUAGAUGCAAACAAGCCUUCAAGGAGUAUCAGCCAUUUUUUUCUUCCUAUUUGAUUUCACUGGCUUUGUGAGAGGAGAGGAGACUCGGCUGGAGGCGAACAGAUAUUUAAACGCACAUUCCUUGAUGGGAAGAGCUGUACUUGAGAAACCAUUUGCAAUCAUAACAAGGACUCGGGUUGACCUGAGGUAAUGUUAACUGUGGCGGAGUUCCUUACUCAAUAUCCGUUUAUAUAAAACAUGUACUUGCUCUCCUUCUGUUUUAUAUACAAAUUCACGUGGAGUCCAUCCCAGGAAGCUUAUGAUCUAGGCUUAGCACUAAAGGAUGCUGACUGUGACAUGAGUGGGAAUGGCUGGAAAACACACAGGAGCCUGCCCUCGUAAGAGACAGUGAUUGCCACAAACCCAUUGUGCUAAGUCCCUGCUUGUAUUUUCUCUCCUUGUUUGACCUCAGCUCCAGUAGGUAUCAAAAAACCUUGCGGCACCCCUAGAUCCAAUUGUCCCAGGAAGAGCCCUGUGAAGCAGGAAUGGUGGACUAAACUUCAGAAAGGACAAGGUUGCCUCUGCAGCAUGCACAUAUGUGUUCUGUCCCAACCUCAAUACACCUAUUGCCUCCUCCUCAAGGCUCUGUUGCAACUAAUCAGCCAGCACAGCUUCCUUAUAUACACCAUCUUGGAGAGAGGAUUUUGAAGACUCUCCAAAAGCCAUGAAAGCAACUCCAGCCUCCUCGUCCCCUUCUUGGCACAGGAUCAUCCUUGAAUGUGCAGGAAAUGUGCAGCCAUCUUGCAAAGCCAAUUCCCUACCUGCUCGGCUUCCCCCUGCUGGCUUCUCAGCUGAAGUUGCCCAGACUGCUGCUGCUCUAUCAGGCAGACCUCCAUGGCUGAGGAUGGUGGCACAAGAAGUGGUAAGUCCCAGGCAGGGAGAUGCUUGGCUUUGGAUGGCUGGACUGUG